GGUGAAUGCUGGCGGCAGGCUUAACACAUGCAAGUCGAGCGGAGAUGAGGUGCUUGCACCUUAUCUUAGCGGCGGACGGGUGAGUAAUGCUUAGGAAUCUGCCUAUUAGUGGGGGACAACAUUCCGAAAGGAAUGCUAAUACCGCAUACGUCCUACGGGAGAAAGCAGGGGAUCUUCGGACCUUGCGCUAAUAGAUGAGCCUAAGUCGGAUUAGCUAGUUGGUGGGGUAAAGGCCUACCAAGGCGACGAUCUGUAGCGGGUCUGAGAGGAUGGUCCGCCACACUGGGACUGAGACACGGCCCAGACUCCUACGGGAGGCAGCAGUGGGGAAUAUUGGACAAUGGGGGGAACCCUGAUCCAGCCAUGCCGCGUGUGUGAAGAAGGCCUUAUGGUUGUAAAGCACUUUAAGCGAGGAGGAGGCUACUGAGACUAAUACUCUUGGAUAGUGGACGUUACUCGCAGAAUAAGCACCGGCUAACUCUGUGCCAGCCGCCGCCGUAA
rnacentral:rRNA from 1 species